GAUGAAGAACGUAGCGAAAUGCGAUACGUAAUGUGAAUUGCAGAAUUCAGUGAAUCAUCGAAUCUUUGAACGCAUAUUGCGCUCUCUGGUAUUCCGGAGAGCAUGCUUGUUUGAGUAUCAGUAAACACCUCAACUCCCUUUUCUUUUUUGAAAUUGGAGCUGGACUUGAGUGAUCCCAACGCUUUCUUCCAAGAAAGUGGCGGGUUGCUUGAAAUGCAGGUGCAGCUGAACUUUUCUCUGAGCUAUAAGCAUAUCUAUUUAGUCUGCCUAAAAAACAGAUUAUUACCUUUGCUGCAGCUAACAUAAAGGAGACUAGUUCUUGUGCUGACUGAUGCAGGAUUCACAGAGACAGCUUCGGCUGACUUUGUAAACUCGAUCUCAAAUCAAGUAAGACUACCCGCUGAACUUAAGCAUAUCAAUAAGCGAAGGA
rnacentral:misc_RNA from 1 species